CAAUAGCGUAUAUUAAAGUUGUUGCAGUUAAAAAGCUCGUAGUUGGAUUUCUGGUAGGAGUGACCGUGCCAGACUUGAUUGUCUGUGUAUUGUGUUGUCUCCAGCCAUCCUUGUGGAGAACUUUUCUUGCAUUAAUUUGUAGGGAUUGGGACCCGCAUCGUUUACUGUGAAAAAAUUAGAGUGUUUAAAGCAGGCAAUCGCUUGAAUACAUUAGCAUGGAAUAAUAAGAUAGGACUUUGGUACUAUUUUGUUGGUUUGCAUACCAAAUUAAUGAUCAACAGGAACAGUUUGAGGAUAUUCGUAUGAACAUGUCAGAGGUGAAAUUCUUGGAUUUUGAUCAGACGAACUACUGCGAAAGCAUUUAUCAAGGAUGUUUUCAUUAA
rnacentral:rRNA from 1 species